rnacentral:misc_RNA from 1 species
UUAAGUUCAGCGGGUAUCCCUACCUGAUCCGAGGUCAAAGACGGUAAAUGUGCUUCGUGGAUGCGGAUCUCCACCCCUACGAGCGCAAUGUGCUGCGCGAGAGGAGGCAAAGACCGCUGCCAAUGAAUUUGGGGCGAGUCCACGCGCAAGAGGCGGGACAGACGCCCAACACCAAGCAGAGCUUGAGGGUGUAGAUGACG